GAGUUCCAAAACCUGGGACUUAGCAAAGACGCGCACUUUUUCGAGCAAAAUAGAUUAAAACUACUCAGAGCGAUAAGAAAACAAAAAGGAAAAACAGUUUGCAUAUUUAAAGUUAAUAAUCAGAGCAACAAAUUCAGGAAAAAAUCCCAGUUUUCAUCAACAAAUCAAAGAUUGAUCAUUCAAUUGAAAUCCUUUUUUUUCCUUGAAGUUGUCCCUGUUUUGGGACCGCUAGGGCCAGCGUUGGCCCAACUUGCGUAAUUGAAAUCCUUGUGAAUUUUGAUGUACUGAGUAGUAGUCAACGGGAUUUUCAGAUGAAUAUACUCCCCCUCUUCCCGCUAGUUUAAACUGGGACCAGCUGUCACAGUGUCUGAAAGUUCUGGGUAUCCAGUCGUGAAUUUUCCAAUUGAAGUCAUUAUGGCCAACAGAGCAACGUCGGUUUCUGAACUGCAUCCGGCUGCUUGAAAAUCUGUGUCAGUUUCUGCCUCAAGAUCGAGUGUAAGAUUUCACAAAUUGAACCCCCGGGAGCUGUUGCUCAACAACCAGACUUCAGUUUGUGGGCCUGUGGGAAUGCUGCAAAUCGAACGUUUACAAAUUCCCUUGGUGCAUCAAUUUGGCUCGAAUUUGUCGGCUUCAGUUUAACAGCAAAUGCCGGUCGCGCUGGCCCGCUCUGCAGUGCAAAUUUCUGUGCACCGGUUGUUGUUUCGCCUCAAUAAUAAAAAAAACGGCAGAAACCAACAACAUAUACACGCAUAUGGUGGGAAAUUGAAAUAAACAUAAUGCCACGUAUUUCUUCGAUUUGCUUUAAUUGAAUCCGAAAUUUUUAUUUAUUUCUUCAAAAAAAAACAUAAUCCCUUUCGAAACCGUGUACAAUU